rnacentral:sRNA from 1 species
GCCAGGAGUGUGACGCACUCCUGUCAUCCCAGCCGCUCGGGAGGCUGAGGCAGGAGGAUCGUGAGUUCAAAACCAGCCUCAGCAAUUUAGUGAGGGUCUAAGCAGCUCAGUGAGACCCUGUCUCUA